rnacentral:rRNA from 1 species
UCGAAGGCUGAAACUCGCCUACAUGAAGCUGGAGUUACUAGUAAUCGCAGAUCAGAAUGCUGCGGUGAAUGCGUUCCCGGGUCUUGUACACACCGCCCGUCACACCACGGGAGUUGGAGACGCCCGAAGCCGAUUAUCUAACCUUUUGGAAGAAGUCGUCGAAGGUGGAAUCAAUAACUGGGGUGAAGUCGUAACAAGGUAGCCGUAUCGGAAGGUGCGGCUGGAUCACCUCCUUUCUAAGGAGA